rnacentral:rRNA from 1 species
AGUGGCGCACGGGUGAGUAACGCGUAAGUAACCUACCUCUAUAUCUGGGAUAACACUUCGAAAGGGGUGCUAAUACCGGGUACACUUAUGAAUCGCGAGGUUUAUAAGGAAAGGUGACCUCUUCAUGAAAGUUGCCGUAUAGGGAGGGGCUUGCGUACCAUUAGCUAGUUGGUGGGGUAACGGCCUACCAAGGCGACGAUGGUUAGCGGGUCUGAGAGGAUGAUCCGCCACACUGGAACUGGAACACGGACCAGACUCCUACGGGAGGCAGCAGUGAGGAAUAUUGCGCAAUGGGGGAAACCCUGACGCAGCGACGCCGCGUGAGUGAAGAAGGCCUUCGGGUUGUAAAGCUCUGUCAGCAGGGAAGAAAUGUCAUAUGGCUAAUAUCCAUGUGAUUUGACGGUACCUGCAGAGGAAGCACCGGCUAACUCCGUGCCAGCAGCCGCGGUAAUACGGAGGGUGCGAGCGUUAAUCGGAUUUACUGGGCGUAAAGGGCGCGUAGGCUGUUAAUCAAGUCAGAUGUGAAAGCCCGUGGCUUAACCACGUGAAGUGCAUCUGAAACUGGUUGACUUGAGUACUGGAGGGGAAGGUGGAAUUCCCGGUGUAGAGGUGAAAUUCGUAGAGAUCGGGAGGAAUACCGGUGGCGAAGGCGACCUUCUGGACAGAUACUGACGCUGAGGCGCGAAAGCGUGGGGAGCAAACAGGAUUAGAUACCCUGGUAGUCCACAGCUGUAAACGAUGUGCACUAGAUGUAGGGGGGAGUUGACCCUCCCUGUGUCGCAGCCAACGCCAUUAA